rnacentral:rRNA from 1 species
GGGAAAAGCUCAAAUUUGAAAUCUGGCAGUUCUUGCGACUGUCCGAGUUGUAAUUUAGAGAAGUGUUAUCCGCGCUGGACCGUGUACAAGUCCCUUGGAAUAGGGCAUCAUAGAGGGUGAGAAUCCCGUCUUUG